rnacentral:rRNA from 1 species
GACGAACGCUGGCGGCGCGCCUAACACAUGCAAGUCGAACGAGCGAGAGAGAGCUUGCUUUCUCGAGCGAGUGGCGAACGGGUGAGUAACGCGUGAGGAACCUGCCUCAAAGAGGGGGACAACAGUUGGAAACGACUGCUAAUACCGCAUAAGCCCACGACCCGGCAUCGGGUAGAGGGAAAAGGAGCAAUCCGCUUUGAGAUGGCCUCGCGUCCGAUUAGCUAGUUGGUGAGGUAACGGCCCACCAAGGCGACGAUCGGUAGCCGGACUGAGAGGUUGAACGGCCACAUUGGGAAUGAGACACGGCCCAGAAUCGUACGGGAGGCAGCAGUGGGGAAUAUUGCACAAUGGGGGAAACCCUGAUGCAGCGACGCCGCGUGGAGGAAGAAGGUCUUCGGAUUGUAAACUCCUGUUGUUGAGGAAGAUAAUGACGGUACUCAACAAGGAAGUGACGGCUAACUACGUG